GGUUGGUGGGAAGGAAAGCAAAAAAGCUGUGGUUUUAUGUUAGUUUCUAACAAAAGUACAAUUGAUAUUCUACUCAACUCCCAGGGAAUGGCAUGGAUUUGAAGUGGAAAGAUUUUGCCUGUAUUGUCUUAUGCCAGAUACAGCAUCAGGCUACAGAAGGGCCUCAAGAAAGCAUUUCAACUACUGGCCUGGGAAACUAAUAGAAGAAGGUGAACCAGCAGAAGAGAAUUGGAAUACGAAAUCAUACUGAAGCUGGGGAGGAGGGGAAGAAAA